rnacentral:rRNA from 1 species
UACGUAGGGAGCAAGCGUUGUUCGGAUUUACUGGGCGUAAAGGGCGCGUAGGCGGCGCGGUAAGUCACUUGUGAAAUCUCUGAGCUUAACUCAGAACGGCCAAGUGAUACUGCAGUGCUAGAGUGCAGAAGGGGCAAUCGGAAUUCUUGGUGUAGCGGUGAAAUGCGUAGAUAUCAAGAGGAACACCAGUGGCGAAGGCGGCUCACUGGCCCGGUACUGACGCUGAGGUGCGAAAGCGUGGGGAGCAAACAGG